AUACGUAGGGAGCGAGCGUUGUCCGGAAUUACUGGGUGUAAAGGGAGCGUAGGCGGGACUGCAAGUCAGAUGUGAAAUACCGGGGCUUAACCCCGGAGCUGCAUUUGAAACUGUGGUUCUUGAGUGAAGUAGAGGCAAGCGGAAUUCCUGGUGUAGCGGUGAAAUGCGUAGAUAUCAGGAGGAACACCGGUGGCGAAGGCGGCUUGCUGGGCUUUUACUGACGCUGAGGCUCGAAAGCGUGGGUAGCAAACAGGAUUAGAUACCCUGGUAGUCCACGCUGUAAACGAUGAUUACUAGGUGUGGGGGGACUGACCCCUUCCGUGCCGCAGUUAACACAAUAAGUAAUCCACCUGGGGAGUACGGCCGCAAGGUUGAAACUCAAAUGAAUUGACGGGG
rnacentral:rRNA from 1 species